ACAGGCAGAGGAAUCCAACUGCCGGGAAGCUGACGUGGGUGGGGGAGGGCGGCGAAGGAGGAGCCGGCGGAAAGCUCCGUGAGAUCCUUCUUCCGCUAGGGAGCCGCCAGCCUUGCUGAACACGGGCUCUGUCAAGACCUGCGCACACAAGCCGGCCGGGAAGUGCCAACUCCAGCAGACAAGCCUCCCAGGGAGUAAGCGCUCCUCGUAGGCCCAAGUGGAAUUUUUUUAAAAAAAUGUUUACACCGUCAGUCUUUUGGCCGGCAGAGUUUGCAGGAGGAUCGAGACCCAGGGGAGAGGUCUGAAUGUGAGAAGGAUCUCGCAUAAGUCCCCUCAUGGCUCUGCCCCCCAAUGCCUCUGGAACGCCCCAUUUUUGGGGCUUCUGCCAGCCCUCUGUCCGCCGGGCUGGCUGUCCCCAGUAGACACCCGGUGGCUUCAGCAGGUUCCUGGGAGAGUCACAUCUCUGCUGCGGCGGAGGGUUGCUGCCAGCAUAGCCUAGCAGAGUCUCACACAGUACAGCUGGCACUCCCACGCAUCCAACUCACCCCAGCCCAGCGGAAAGCAUGUGAGGAACCCUCCCAGGCUGCGUGCAACGGCUGUGACCUUGAAUAAAAAAAUGCAAUUGUGUGUGCUGAAUGCAAUGGCUGCAGAAUGGGCAGGCUCUGAGGCCAGGACAUGGUGGAGCAAGUGAAAGAUGAAUUUAAUUCUCUACAGUGCCAAGCGAUUGCCUCGCUGCACACAUUCUGAAACACACCAGAGAGAGCAGACAGGGAAAUCAAUAAUAAAAAUGAUAGUAAUUACAAGUGGACUACCGCCGAUGUAAAUGCUGUCAGUUGAGCCUGACAGCUGCUUGUAAGAAAGCCUGGUGUGCAAAAUGGAAGUGUUUUCUUUACUGCUACCUCAGCGGAAGGUUUCCCUGGACCACUGUAUAAUUUUGUAUCAUCAUCAGCUGCUGCCAUUUCCCUCACACAAGGGGCUGAGGCAGAUUGCAAUAAAGAACUAUGUCAGCAUUCAUCCCUUAUUGUGGCUGGCAGCAUAAUUAAAGGAUUGUAAAGUGGAUUCACCAGUUA